rnacentral:misc_RNA from 1 species
GAUGAAGAACGUAGCGAAAUGCGAUAAGUAAUGUGAAUUGCAGAAUUCAGUGAAUCAUCGAAUCUUUGAACGCGCAUUGCGCCCGCCAGUAUUCUGGCGGGCAUGCCUGUUCGAGCGUCAUUUCAACCCUCAGGCCCCCAGUGCCUGGCGUUGGGGAUCGGCGCGGCGCCCUCCGGGGCGCUGCCGGCCCCGAAAUUCAGUGGCGGUCUCGCUGUAGCCCUCCUCCGCGUAGUAGCACAACCUCGCGGCCUGGAGCUCGGCGGUGGCCAUGCCGUAAAACACCCCACUUCUGAAAGUUGACCUCGGAUCAGGUAGGAAUACCCGCUGAACUUAAGCAUAUCAAUAAGCGGAGGA